GGAAACCGUUCAGGGGUAAACCUGAGAAACCCAAAAGAUCGAAUGGGGAGAUUCAUCGUCAACGGUGCCGGCUCCCGUUGGUGCGCGAUGCUCCGAAUGGACCCUUGGGGGCCCAUCGCGAGGGCACGCCACCUUCGGCUCGAACGUUCCGGUGCGCGUAGUCGUGCACUUCUCCCCUAGUAGAACGUCGCGACCCGUUGUGUGUCGGCCUACGGCCCGAGCGGGUGCCUGUCGCGUCGCGUUUCGCGCGCGCGGCAGACCCUCGGACGCCCGGCCGGCUGCACGACGGUACUCCCACGGUAUCGGGCCGCAACCAAUCCGAUUUUCGAAUCGUAUGUGCGUCUAGCCCGCCGCAAGCUCGAUCAGUUCUUACCCGGUGGUCGGACCCAGUGCCGUCCCCGGGCCUGAUCAGCUGUUAGCAGGCGGUGUCCUCGGACUGGCCAAGCUUCGAAUUACCGGUCGGCGACGCUACUGCUUUGGGUACUCUCAGGACCCGUCUUGAAACACGGACCAAGGAGUCUAACAUGUGCGCGAGUCAUUGGGAUGCAUAAACCUAAAGGCGAAAUGAAAGUGAAGGUCGUCCUUUGCGUCGACCGAGGGAGGAUGGGCCGCGUUACGAGGCGGCCCCGCACUCCCGGGGCGUCUCGUUCUCAUUGCGAGAAGAGGCGCACCCAGAGCGUACACGUUGGG
rnacentral:rRNA from 1 species